GCGAGUGUGGUGCAGUGGUUUGAACAUUGGACUAGGAAUCUGGAGAGUAUGGUUCGAUUCCUUGCUCAGCCA